rnacentral:lncRNA from 1 species
UUAAUGUUAAAGGAGCAUGCAUAUACUCAAAUGGGUGGACACAAUAAUUUGACGUUAUAUGCAAAGGGUUAAAAUGGGUUUAUGAUUAUAUUAGUGUUAAAAUGGGUGGACACAUUAAUUAGAUAUUAUAUGCAGAGAGAAGGCAAAGGGUUGGGCCUUUUGGAUGUGUUUUUAGAUUUACGGUUUAGAUAGGAUUAAAUUAGGUGGAUGCAUUAAUUAGACGUUAUAUGUAGAAGGAAUGCGAAGAGUUGGUUUUAUAAGGUAAAAGUCCAAGAGUAAAGAAAAUACAACCACGUCGCAUUUCUUUUGGGGAUUAAUGUCACUAUUGCUUAGUAGUUCAAUGAAUCUACAUCAGUUCAUAUUAAACAGAAUGAAUUUAUUAGCAAUAAAAUCAAUUAGCGGGUAAAUAAGGACAGUUAGUUAGUACCAGGUGCGUUAUUUUGUUAAUUUGAUAUUUAGAUAAAGGAAGUAGUUUCAUUUAUUUAUUUAUUUAUUUAUGAGGAUAAAGUGAUGAAAGGUGACUUGCCACAUGGUAAAAAAUAUUGUGCUUUCAUUUGGAUUUAUUAUUUAUAGAUGUAGUUAACAUUCAAGUUGAAAAAAAAUGUGUUA